rnacentral:rRNA from 1 species
AGGAAUUUUUUUUAUAUUAUUAGGUAGAAUUUUAAUAUAGAGUAAAAACAUUAAUUUUAAACAUAAAAAUUAUGUUAUGGACCAGGAUUAGAUACCCUGUUACUCAUAAGUAAUAAAUUUUGGAAUAGUAAUAAUGAUGAAAUUUAACGGAUUUGGCGGCAAGAUAGCCAUUUAGAGGAACCUGCCCUAUAAACGAUGAGCCACGAAAAACUUUACUUUUAUUUGUAAUCAGUUUGUAUAUCGCUGUUGUCAGUCAGUUUCUUUAGAAAACUUUCUAUCAUGAAAAAAUCAUAGACUUCAAGUAAAGGUGCAGCUAAUGUAAAAGAUAGAGGUGGGUUACAUUUAUUAGAUUAAAACGAAUAAAGUUUAUGAAAUAGCUUUUAAAGGUGGAUUUAAUUGUAAAGUUUAAGAAAACUUGAUUUGAGCUCUAUCUUGUGUACACACCGCCCGUCGCUCUCUUUAUUAAAU